CCUCUCUCUCGUGGAUCUACUUAAUGGUAUUGGCUCUUGAGGUUGUUGCGUUUGUAUUUUUGGAAUAAUUACCUCAUUUUGGAUGGGAGUUACUUCAACAUUGUCUGGUUGAGGUUCUGGAUAUGCUUCUUGAUCAACAACAGGUAUAGAAACCUGUACAUUGUCAAAAGCAAUAGUAGGAAUCAAAACCGAUCCUUCCUCAACUUCUUCCUCAAAGACAAUGUCUCUAACCUUAUUUCUCUCCCCAAACUCAACAUCCUCAAAAAAUGUUGCGGUUCCCGUUUCAAAAAUUGACUUAAGUGUGGGAUCAUAAAAUUUAUAGCCCCUGGAUCGCUCAGAAUAACCAAUAAAAUAGCUG
rnacentral:lncRNA from 1 species